rnacentral:rRNA from 1 species
UACGGAGGGUGCGAGCGUUGUCCGGAAUCACUGGGCGUAAAGGGCGCGUAGGCGGUCUGUUAAGCGUGUGGUGAAAGCUCGGGGCUCAACCCCGAGUCUGCCAUGCGAACUGGUGGACUUGAGCACUGUAGAGGCAGGUGGAAUUCCGGGUGUAGCGGUGGAAUGCGUAGAGAUCCGGAAGAACACCGGUGGCGAAGGCGGCCUGCUGGGCAGUUGCUGACGCUGAGGCGCGACAGCGUGGGAAGCAAACAGG